AGAUGUCCAGGAAGUGACCCACUGCCCAGGAAUCAGUUGGUGGGUUGAAUCUCCCCACGAAAGGGAGGCAGAUUCAAGGCAAAAUUCCGGAAACAGGAAGCUUAUUUGCAGAGAUUUGACGCGUCAGAAGUUCAUCUUUACUGACGGGUCUCCUAUAUCAGGCUGCAUCGCUUGUACACCUGCUGACGAAGUUCCUGCUGGGUCAGACGUGUUCCUCCUAUCUCCAUAGGCUUCUCCAAAUACCCUUCAGAACUCUACGUGUUUGAAGGAGGCAGAACAACUGGUGAAGGUGCACCUGAUGGGUUCCGACUCAAAUGCUAGGUCACACUGAAUCAGGAAAGUUCUGCAAGUCUCUGGAUCCCCCUUGUAAUUCUCCGGAGUACAGAUGCUGGGCUUAGCUCCUUGGAGAAACAGGGCUGGCUCAGCCGGUUGUUGAGGAGACGGGCUUGGACCGGCAGAUGAGGAGGCUCCAGGCAGGAGUUGGUAACCAUCGAGAUUUGCCUACAUUCUCAGCGAAAAGAAGGCUGAUGUUUUUUCAAGCCUGAAAGCAGAAGUAUACCUACCACUAACUCAAUCUCCAGAUCACAUGCAGACUGAUGGCAAGGACCCAAGUUAUGGCAAUGAUGAAGUCACUGCAUUCGUCCCAUCAGGGAGAACAACAGCUAUUUGCAAUAGACGGACACCUUGUCAAUGCAUUCCAAGCCCUGCCGCUGAUGAGGAUACUCCUGAAGUGCAACAAAGGAGUCACUGCUAGUGCAACCCUUUAGUUUUUUGUAUUCAGGAUUGUUACUAGGGAUGUCCUGAUCCGAUCCACGGCAUCGGUAUCGGGGCGAUAAUGGCC
ensembl:lncRNA